GUCUAUGUCCAUACCACCCUGAACGUGCCUGAUCUCAUCUGAUCUUGGAAGCUAAGCAGGAUCGGACCUGUUGUAGGUG
ensembl:rRNA 5S_rRNA 5S ribosomal RNA